rnacentral:misc_RNA from 1 species
AAAAAAAUAAGAAAAAUGGAAAGAGAGUCCCAUUUUAACAGAAAACUCUAAGACCUGAAACAAUAGAGCAAACGCGAAGUCACUGAAGAUUCCACGCCAUAGUCAGCCUUUUAUCUCUCUGGCGCGAUUUCUCCUCUCUAGGCACCUCUGGAUUUAAUUUCCUUCUCUUGUUUUUACACAACAAUUUUAUUAAGAGGCUGACUUUUUCUUUAAUCGAUACCUGAUCUGUGUCUAUUGAUUCUCAAUUGCUGCACAGCCCCCGAUUCUUUGAUUUCCUAUUUGGUGCCAAUUAGGGCUUAGGUUAGGGUUUGAUUUUGAGAGAGAGAGAGAGAG